rnacentral:lncRNA from 1 species
AUCAUUUCAAUUUUCAUUGUCUAUUUUGGAAACCCUUAAAGUAUUUCAGAUGUAACUUAAGGAGUUUUGUUUGAGCAUCUUCUGUUUAAAUUAUAAUUUCAAGGUAAAGAAAAUUAUUUACUGUAAGAGAGUUCUCAUUUUUAAGAAGAUUCUCACUUUUUCUCAGCAAAAUUUUCCCCCAGAAUAAAGAAGUAAUACACUAUAUUGGCUAGAAUCAAAUGCCAGCUUUUACAAGGAAGUAAUACUGCCUUAGGGCUUUUAAAAAUCAUUUAUCAAGCUUUUAACCUGUUUCCCUUAUUUCAUCUCAGCCAUUUCAUGAAAGACUGUUACAAAUAUAUAAUUUUUGAUUCUAUUAAAAAUAUUUCAGGAACUAAUUUAUAGAUACUUGGAAAUAUUUAUUGAAUGAGUUGCAGAGUUUCUCCAGUAUUUUACAGAACAACCCUGGAAUUAGAUUUCUAUUUUGAUUUUGAUUUUGAAGUCAGAUUUUAGAAAAUUGUAUUUUGUCUAAUCUGCCUUCUAAAUGCAUUUUACUUUUACUAAGUAAACCUUUAGGUGCUCAAGAUGUGAAAAAGGAUCAUUUGGGACUAAAUAAAAACUUGAAUCCUGAGAAUGGAUUAAAGAAAAAAUUGAAAUAUUGGAAGAUCUUAAUAUGGCCAUUUAUUUUGCAGAGAAGAAAUAGUUAUAUAUGGAUGUAUAUUAAGAUUUCAUUUUUUCCAUCUUCUUUGGAAAAAACGUCUAAUCUUUUUCAUUCAAGUUUAAGUUGA